CAAUAAGCCUCACCUGGGCCACCAUCCACUCCCCUACUGGGGGGGGGAAAGGAGGGGAGGGAAGGUGGCCUGAGUACCUACUUAAGCUCAGCUCCAGGAUGUUUACUUUUUCUUAGGCUGUGCUGAGCCCUUCUUUUUCAGCUCUUUGCUUUUUUUCUUUUCUUGGGCAUCGGUUAUGUUUUGUUUUCAUCUUUGCUUGGCUCUUGCUGGAGCAUUUGAGGGAUUCGUUGGAGUCACUGGUUUGUCCUGGCUGUUCCUGGGGAGCUACUCUUUGCUUGUGACCCCCUGAAAGCAGUUCAGAUCCACAUAGCUGAAGAGAAAAACCUGAAACCUUACCACAUAGUUGAAGAGAAAAACCUGAAACCUUUAACCCUAAACAUUUUGAAACCAGAAGUCUAGUGAGGAAGCUAAAGUGUGCUACUGCAUUUAUGAUGGAAGAUUGGAAAUACCAUCCUUGUUGCAAUACUGCCUGAAUUCAGGGAAUCGUCUUUGAAAUUAUCUACAUCACCAUUCACUGAUGACAAGCUAAUAUCCUUAAAACAGCUUUCUGUUGAUUCAGUAUGAAGCUGACAGCUGAUGUUAACUAUCCUUCUAUGACUUAUUGUACCUACUGGGUUCACUGCGAUGGAAGAGAAUAAGUAACGCAGCAUCUAAACUGUACUGUGAACAAAGACCUACAGGAAGCAAGCAGAUUGCACAGAUCUUAAGCCAAAACUGGGAAGGUAGCUGUGCCAUAUGGGUUGUGAUAUAAUGGUUGCAGUCUCUGUCUAGGCUCUGGCUGUUGCUCCAUGAAAGAUUAACAUCUCCAAGAUCUGUGUCUGAUACAUAAAUUAUUCACGGAACUGUGUCACAUAAAGGUAUGACUAAGCUCAUCUUACAGCAUAGACUUCAGUUUCUUCUUACAUGAGAACUGCUGAUAGUUACACACCGAGAAAGGGGAAAGGCUUAGCACAUGAUCAUCUUUCCUCUCCAUUAAGUUUAUGCACUUUGGCUUCACGUUAUGAUGCACAGCAUGGUGGAACAGAGGCUUCUAGAGAAGGCUGUUACUUUUGCAUAGCCUGUGCUGAUGAUCACAAAGUGGUAACAAAAACAUUUAAAAUGAGAAAAUGCAAAAUUGAAGCUAACAUUCUGUCCAAUGAAGGCAAAAGAACUGGAAUUUAAGGAACAAUAAUCUACGUUCUCUGAUGAGCACUCUACUACAGAGCUUGACAGUGUUGAUCCUGGAUGAGCAGUCAUCCACAGCUUGACACAGUGAAAUAUCUUCAGAAGGAUGGGCUUAGAUAGCCUCAUUCCUGGUGCCCAACAUGGAAUAUGUGCACUGUUUGAAGAAGGUUCUUUUUAACUGACAAGCUGGUAUUUGACAGCCUCUACGACUUCAUCACCCACUACUGAGAAACACCAAUGAGGUACAACGGACUUGAGAUGAGGCUGACAGAGCCGGUGCCUCGGUCCAACACUCACAGCAAUGUGGACUGGGUGCCGCGGGACGGCACAAGAGGGACAAGCCCAGCUCCAGCACCAUCUACUUCGGGGCAGGAUGGAAGAUCCAGCACUGCUGCACGCAUUGGCAAGAGGGUCACGUUUAAUAAGGCACUUGACCAAGUGCAUAUUGUUCAUCACACAAAAUAAAAGUUCUUG
ensembl:lncRNA